AGGAAAUUAACCGUGCUUUCUCU
rnacentral:siRNA from 1 species